rnacentral:lncRNA from 1 species
CUGCUGUAGCCCCUACGUGGUGAGUAGAUCGUCUCCACAGAAAUCAGCGGAGGCUUCCACAGUCCCUGGUUGGAAUGGAACCGGCGGUGAGGAUGAGAGGCGCUGAAGACCAGAAGACCCAGGGCGUGAACGGGGCGUGUCAUCCCUGGAGUUUCAGUAGAAUUUCAGGCCUGUCUGCUUGAGCAGCAGAGGAGGAGUUUCUGUGUGCCUGUGAGAGACUGUGUGUGUGUGUGUGUGUGUGUGUGUGUGUGAGAUGAAUGAACAGGGUUGUGUACGUGUGUGUGCGUUAGACAAAUGAACAGUGUUGUGUACCUGUGUGAAUUGUCACUGUGACUCCAGGCUCUAGGCUCUGCAGAUUCCUCAGCCCUAUCGCCUCACAGACACUUGGGAUGUGCAGCAGGUAAAAGAGAGAAGCCAGAUUCAUGGAGGCGUGAAGGAUCCCAGCAAGAAAACACAGACUUGAUCUUGAGACGAGAUUUUUGAAAUUGGUUGCGGCCUCAAGGCAGGCUCUGAGAAGACUCGAUAAAGAGUUCUCAGGAAUAGGCAUCCCUCCUGGAUAUUUCCCCCUUGGAAGCGCCGAGGAGCCAGCUCUAUGUUUGUAACCAUAGCAUUUCUAAAGCUCCAGCCCCAGGAACCUGCUGUGAAUUAGAGACAGAUUCCACCCUAGGCAUCACUGAUCUUGGCCUCUCUUGUAUUGGGAAGGUCAACACUGUUCCAGUUUCUCUCCUACUCCCAUCUGGUUGUGCUCGGUGAAGUAGGUGAGCAGUGCUACCCUUCUGUUAAAAAAAAAAAAAAAAAAAAGAUCCUGAAAGAGGAAAGAAUUUUUGCUACACAUCUGAAAGCUAAAGUCCAGAGAUAGUAACAUCUGAGAACGUGGCAGCAUCCUCUACUGUGUGGAGCACUGAUCACUGCACUAUUUCAGACGGACUUGUAAAUGAUUGUGAUACUGAAAAGCUACAGGAGCAGACUCUUUAUGAUCAACUCUUUAAAUUCAAAAUAUGAUUUCUAGAGCUUUUUUAUCCCUUAAUGUGACCCUCUAGAGAGGCCCUGGAGUGUUUGAAUUUAUGAAGGAUUUCUUUGAGAUUCAUUGAUCAUUCCAUUCUGUUUUCCUUGAAGCAUCAUUUUCUUGGUCCCUCGGGUGGCUUUCAUUUGGCCUUUCUUGUAUGGAACCUCUCUGCCACAGGAUUGUACUGGAAUUUUUCAAAAGCCUCAGCAUGCCAAAGUCCCAUUUCUUUUUUCAUAUGCAGAUAUUUCCUGCAUGUUGGAAACAAUUGAUUUUUUAACCAAAAUGGCUUAUUUCUAAGGUAGGUGCAAUUCCUGAACUGGAGCAGGGAGUCCAGUCCUCAUAGGUGGAGAGUGUAGUGACAAGAGGAUUUAUCCAAGUGACUUAGGGAAAACCAGUAAAAGGAAAACUGUUGUAUAUCAGUAUUCAAAACUCAGAGCCUUGAUAUUCUAAUUUGAGACAACUCAAAGACUUUAGGACUUGGGAGAAAACAAGGCCUCCUCACCGUACUCCAAAUAUCACUGUAUUCAUAACUUAUUUUAUUACAUUCUCUAAUAUUAGAUUGAUUAGCUCUAUUAUCAUUUUUUACUAUAAAAGUAAUACAUUCUCAUAUAGUAGUUCAGAAAAUACAGAAAAACCCAAAGUGAGGAAACAACAACUGUAAACAUUUUACUCCAGAUCUUUUUGGUUGGGUACGGUGGCUCAUGCCUGUAAUCUCAGCACUUUGGGAGGCCGAGGCAGAAGGAUCACUUGAGCCCAGGAGUGUGCGACCAGCCUGGGCAACAUAAUGAGAGCUCAUCUUUACUAAAAAUAAAUUAGCCGGGUCUGGUAGUAUGCACCUGUAGUCCCAGCUACAGGUCCAUGCCACCACCUGAGACGGGAGCAUAGCUUGAACCCAGGAGGUCGAGGCUGCAGUGAUCCGUGUUUGCACCACCACAUUCCAGGCUGAGUGACAGAGUGAGUCCCUGUCUCACACACACACACACAAUAUAUAUAUGUAUAUCUCCAUCCCUCAAGGCAUAUGCAUAUAUUCAUAUGUGUUAUUUUACCCACCAUAACAGAAUAA